AUGGUUGUAAAACCAGGGGAAACGUUUACCAUCGCCUGUAAGAUCACUGGAUAUUCAGCCUCAGGUGGAGGCUACACAAACUGGAUCAGACAUUCAAGUGGAAAACCCAUGGAAUGGAUCGGAUAUUUCCAGACUUCCAGCAGCAAUCGUGUCACAGAUUCUCUGAAAAAUAAGAUCAGUUUCUCUUCUGAAUCCUCCAGCAACGCAGUUAUUUUAACAGGAAAAAACUUCAACACUGAGGACACAGCUGUGUAUUACUGUGCUCGCUAUACACUGUGCUACAACCUGCCACAGGACCUGUACAAAAACCCAAUUUUUCAAUAA